GGGAAUAUAGUUCAGUGGUAGAGCACUUGCCUAACAUGUGUGAGGCCCUGGGUUUGAUUCCCAGCAUUGCAA
rnacentral:tRNA from 1 species